UACGGGAGGCAGCAGUAGGGAAUCUUCCGCAAUGGACGCAAGUCUGACGGAGCAACGCCGCGUGAGUGAAGAAGGUUUUCGGAUCGUAAAACUCUGUUGUUAGAGAAGAACAAGUGCUAGAGUAACUGUUAGCGCCUUGACGGUAUCUAACCAGAAAGCCACGGCUAACUACGUGCCAGCAGCCGCGGUAAUACGUAGGUGGCAAGCGUUGUCCGGAUUUAUUGGGCGUAAAGCGAGCGCAGGCGGUUCCUUAAGUCUGAUGUGAAAGCCCCCGGCUCAACCGGGGAGGGUCAUUGGAAACUGGGGAACUUGAGUGCAGAAGAGGAGAGUGGAAUUCCAUGUGUAGCGGUGAAAUGCGUAGAUAUAUGGAGGAACACCGGUGGCGAAAGCGGCUCUCUGGUCUGUAACUGACGCUGAGGCUCGAAAGCGUGGGUAGCAAACAGGAUUAGAUACCCUGGUAGUCCACGCCGUAAACGAUGAGUGCUAAGUGUUGGAGGGUUUCCGCCCUUCAGUGCUGCAGUUAACGCAUUAAGCACUCCGCCUGGGGAGUACGACCGCAAGGUUGAAACUCAAAGGAAUUGACGGGGGCCCGCACAAG
rnacentral:rRNA from 1 species